UUCUGCCACGCCACGCAAGGCGACGUGGAGGCCGUCCGCGCGAUCCUGGCCAUAUUCAGCGAAGCUAGCGGCCUCCGAGUGAACUAUGCCAAAAGCUCCGCCACCACCUUCAAUGGCGACCCCAAGGCGGAUGCAACAAUUGAUCAGGUGGGAUGCGCGAAAGUGGAGCUGCCCAUCACCUAUCUUGGCAUCCCUCUCACGCUACGCCGUCCCUCAGCUGCCCAACUACAACCACUCAUCGACUCGGUGGCUGCUCGGCUCCCCACAUGGAAAGCAUGGCUCAUGAACAAAACCGGGCGGCUGGCUCUGGUCAAAUCGGUGCUCGCCGCGAUCCCGAUACAUCAGCUGCUCGCAUUCGCACCGCCCAAGAAGACAUUGAGACAGCUCGAAAAGAUCCAGCGUGGCUUCUUGUGGGCUGGGCGCGCUGCUGCUAAUGGCGGACACUGCCACGUCAAUUGGCGACGUGUGUGCCGCCCGCUCGAGUACAGCGGACUCGGGGUACAUGACCUGGAGCGUGCUGGCCUAGCGCUGCGCCUGCGCUGGAUGUGGCUCUCUCACACGGACGACGAUCGCGCAUGGCGAGGCCUCGACCUCCAGUUUUCUCGCGAGGAGCGUGCGCUGUUCUUCGCCUCGACGAUCAUGGAGCUCGGCGAUGGACAAACGGCGCUGUUUUGGGAUGACCGAUGGCUAAACGGUCAGUCCGUGCGUGAACUCGCACCGGCACUCUACCAAUGCAUUCCCAAACAGCGACGCAAGUCAAGAACGGUGGCCGCCGGCCUAGCGGGCAAUGUCUGGGCUCGUGACAUUCAAGGAGUGAUAGGGAUUCAUGAGAUUGGACAAUAUCUCAGACUUUGGCAGGCAGUGAAGCACAUCAGCCUAUCAAACCGGCCUGACCGCAUGCUCUGGAGAUGUACGGCUAGUGGCACAUAUACGGCAUGGUCA
rnacentral:rRNA from 1 species